GACGAACGCUGGCGGCGUGCCUAAUACAUGCAAGUCGAACGAGAGCGACCGGUGCUUGCACUGGUCAAUCUAGUGGCGAACGGGUGAGUAACACGUGGGUAACCUGCCCAUCAGAGGGGGAUAACAUCCGGAAACGGAUGCUAAAACCGCAUAGGUCUUCGAACCGCAUGGUUUGAAGAGGAAAAGAGGCGCAAGCUUCUGCUGAUGGAUGGACCCGCGGUGCAUUAGCUAGUUGGUGAGGUAACGGCUCACCAAGGCCGUGAUGCAUAGCCGACCUGAGAGGGUGAUCGGCCACAUUGGGACUGAGACACGGCCCACUCCUACGGGAGGCAGCAGUAGGGAAUCUUCCGCAAUGGACGCAAGUCUGACGGAGCAACGCCGCGUGAGUGAAGAAGGUGUUCGGAUCGUAAAACUCUGUUGUUAGAGAAGAACAAGUGCUAGAGUAACUGUUAGCGCCUUGACGGUAUCUAACCAGAAAGCCACGGCUAACUACGUG
rnacentral:rRNA from 1 species